ensembl:lncRNA
AUGGUGCAGGACCGCCAGCGGCGUGCGGAAGCGCGGCGGAGCGCGGCGUCCGCCGGGCAGUCGAGCCGCUGCGAGCUGGCGCUGCUCCGCUCUACCGCCGACCUCCGGGGCCAAGCGCGCUGGGGCACCGCGCUGCGCGGCACAGAGCAGUCGGCUGCGCUGGAGCAGAGUGGGGACACGGACCCUCGCAGAACCACAGAGGAGCGUCGCACAACUGCGCCAAGGACAAACCCAGGGCACUCACACCAGGGGCUGGAGCCGUCGCCGCGCUCCCACGGGAAGGUGCCUGGAUUAUACUCUUCUGCCUUCUGA